UGUAAUGGAAAUAAUGCCCUUGGGAACUGCAACAAGUUCUUGCAAGACUUAAUACCAGGGAUGUAACAGAGACACGCAACCACAGCAUAUGAACAGAGUUUGAGAGAGAGAGAGCGAGAUACAACCUGAGACCCAAGAGACUGCAAUACAGAUAUAUUUAUAAGUACUUCUAAGCAUGCAUUUGGCUGGCAGCCUCAGAAGUGAAAAAACAGUGUCUGGUGGUUUGGAGCACCUGCCUGGAAAGCAAGAUCGCAUGAUUCUCUUCUCAUCUUUCCCCUCAAUGAGUGAGUCCACAGACAAACCAGAUUCUGGGGGUUUUUUUCACUUGUCAAAGCAUUAGAAGAACACCGCUACGGAAAAAGACUUGUACAAACAGAGUUGGAUAUGAGCUUUUGUGCAAGGACAUCUGCUGUACCAGUGAAGUGCAGCUGAUGCUCUGAGAGCUUGGGAGGGCAUUUUCAGGUACUGGCCUUAAAGCAGUAUUCAAGUCAGCAGAUUAAAAGGGAUUGUUCACAACAGAAAGUCUAGGAGGAGGAACUUCCCUGAAAUAAGCUGCUCUGGGAGGAAGCCAAGUUAAUAGUUUUUUAUCAGUACUAUAAGAAGGCAGCAGGUGUACUCUACCAGUGCUUAAUGAGCAACCCAACACUACACCAGGGAGGAUAACUGUCCUGAGUCUCGUGGCCAUUAAGGAUGUAGUUUUUAAAAUAAUUUUGAGGUUUCAGUCUUUUGGCUUUUUCAUGCCACUUGCUUCCCGCCAAGCCAGCCCUGCCAUACAAGCACCACCCUCAUUAGCCCUUGCAGGUUCCAAACAAGAGCCAAACUUCAAGGCACAGAUUCCUGGAAAUGAAACUUCAGUGUUUCAGCUGUUCACAAAACUACAGCUUUUUCAGUUAAAAAUUAAAAAUCGCCCAAAUGGUGGAACAAGAAGAACAUGAUUUGACCAGAUCUUCAGCUGGUAUAAAAAGAUAGAGACUGUUGACAUGCGUCAUUGAAAAUAUCAUCUGAAGCUGAAGUGGAAUUGCAGCCAAAAAACUUUCAAGCAAUCACACAAGCCUUAAAGAGUGAAAAGCAAUAAUUAUUUCCAGAAUGCCAAAGACCUUCCUCUUAGGGAGAAUCUUUAAUUUGCUGAUGAGUUUCUGUGUAUUGGGUUUUUAGAUAAUUGCUGUGGUGAUAUCAACAUUCGCUAAUAAAGAAGCUUUCAAUGAAGCAGUAAGAGGUCUGCAGAUCUCAUCGGCAUUGUUACCACCGUCUUUGGACAAUGGUGGCCAGCGCGUUCUUCAGCUGGAGAGCCAUAUCUCUGGCAUAUCAGUUCUUGCAGGUUGCAAGUGAAUAUAUGGUCACACUUCACCAGAUGGCUUCAUCAGGCUUUUUGUUUGUUUUCACUUGGAAGGCAGGGAAUAGAAGUACCUUGAUUUAGCAGAGAGCUGCAUGAGGAACAGAGAAACAUUUUUUGUGAGCUUAUAUGUUCUGGACUCUAAUAGGUAUUGGAUAAUAUUAUUGUUUCACCGAUGAAACUUUGCAAAAUCGAUUAUCCAAGCUUUUGUUCAAUUGCCUGACUGAAAAUAAAAAAAGUCCUGAGAACAAAUAAUAUCUCAUUAUACCAAGUCAAAUGACAUUAGAAUAAAAUUGCUGGGAUGAAGAAUAUCAAGAAUCAAUUUUUAUGCUUGGAAUUAAUUUUCUGAAUAGGGAACCACUGAACAUUGCCAUAAUUAGUGCAUUCCUCGUAAACCUAUUAGCACAUCUCUUUCAGGGCUGAAUUUACCAUAUAGUUACAGCUCCACUUUUAAGUGCUCACCAUCAUCAGCUGCAGCCAGAAUUUCAAGAGCACAAUUUUAAUAUUGGCAUGAAGAAUGUAGCCAAUGCAUUUCUAGGUCUAAAAAGGAGCUCACUGCAUUUUUUUUAAU